GUCCAGACUCCUACGGGAGGCAGCAGUGGGGAAUAUUGCACAAUAGGGGAAACCCUGAUGCAGCGACGCCGCGUGGGCGAUGAAGUAUUUCGGUAUGUAAAGCUCUAUCAGCAGGGAAGAAGAUGACGGUACCUGACUAAGAAGCCCCGGCUAACUACGUGCCAGCAGCCGCGGUAAUACGUAGGGGGCAAGCGUUAUCCGGAUUUACUGGGUGUAAAGGGAGCGUAGACGGCGAUGCAAGCCAGAUGUGAAAGCCCGGGGCUCAACCCCGGGACUGCAUUUGGAACUGUGUGGCUGGAGUGUCGGAGAGGCAGGCGGAAUUCCUAGUGUAGCGGUGAAAUGCGUAGAUAUUAGGAGGAACACCAGUGGCGAAGGCGGCCUGCUGGACGAUGACUGACGUUGAGGCUCGAAAGCGUGGGGAGCAAACAGGAUUAGAUACCCCCGUA
rnacentral:rRNA from 1 species